rnacentral:tRNA from 1 species
AGGGAUUUAAGUUAAAAAAACUAAAAGCCUUCAAAGCUUUAAUUGAUAAGCACUAAUCAAUCCUUA